rnacentral:rRNA from 1 species
UACGUAGGGUGCGAGCGUUGUCCGGAAUUAUUGGGCGUAAAGAGCUUGUAGGCGGUCUGUCGCGUCUGCUGUGAAAAUCCGGGGCUCAACCCCGGACUUGCAGUGGGUACGGGCAGACUAGAGUGUGGUAGGGGAGACUGGAACUCCUGGUGUAGCGGUGAAAUGCGCAGAUAUCAGGAGGAACACCGAUGGCGAAGGCAGGUCUCUGGGCCACUACUGACGCUGAGAAGCGAAAGCAUGGGGAGCGAACAGG